CCUUGGUGGUUCAAACAGUAAAGAAUCUGCCUGCAAUGCAGGAGACCUAGGUUCAAUCCCUGGGUCAAGAA
rnacentral:tRNA from 1 species